GCAGCCGAGCGAGACAGCCACGCCUUCAUGGAGGAACACGGGCUAAUGAGAGUGCUGUGAAGUCAGUUGUCCCCGUUCCUGAAGUGGAAACUUGAUCUUUAAGAACUCAGGAAAGUUCGGAGGUCCCGCCCUUGCCACCGCGAGGCCCGUUCCGGAAGAUUUAAAACACACUGAAAUCCGAAUCAUCCCAGGGCUGGACGAGGCUGGAUAUAGCUGGGGGCCGUGGUCGCCCACUCUGGGGUAGACGGACACGCUACCAGACAGGGACUUUCCUGGUGGCGCAGUGGUUAAGAAUCCGCCUGCCAAUGCAGGGGACACAGGUUUGAGCCCUGGUCUGGGAAGAUCCCACAUGCCAUGGAGCAACAAAGCCCGUGAGCCACAACUACUGAGCUUGCGCUCUAGAGCCCGCGAGCCACAACUACUGAAGACUGUGCACCACAACUAGUGAAGCCCGCUCGCCUAGAGCCUGUGCUCUGCAACAAGAGAAGCCACUGCAAUGAGAAGUCCGCGCACCGCAACAAGGAGUAGCCCCCGCUUUCCGCAACUAGAGAAAGCCCUAGAGAAAGCCCGCAUGUAGCGACGAAGACCCAACGCAGCCAAAAAUAAAUAAAUAAAUAAAAACAAAACCAAAACUUAAUGUUA